rnacentral:lncRNA from 1 species
AAGGAGCAGUUUGUUGCCUGUGCCAGGCAAAUCGCUUCCGACGGGCAGGUGGUUGUCAGAUUUGGGCACAUCCUUGCCAAGCAGUGCCCGGACCAGAGAUGCUCCACGGAGCUGCUCCGCGCCUCCGAGCACACCCACACCCUCAGCAGCCAGCUCAGCAUCGUGGCCAGGGUGAAAGCAGUGACUGGGGAGAGCAAGGCCUCCUCGGAGCUGCUCCUGAGCAACGCGCAGAACCUGGUGCGAGCGGUGCGGCACCUCCUGGGCGCGGCCGAGGCGGCCUCUGUCAAAGGUUUGGGACAACCCUCAUCUGACCCUGAAGCAGAAGAAGUUGCUGCUUUUUGCCUGCAGUGGAAGAAAAACCUGUCGUGGCACAGAGCCAAGGAGGCUUUAAAUUCCAACAGGGAUGAGUUAGGGCUCCGCAAGACUCGGGAAGCAAAGGCGGAGCCCACCCUGAUGGCUGGGGUGCAAGAACCACCCCCUCAGACCAGGAAUAUCCCAAAGCAUCCCAGUCCCAGGAAAGGACACACAGCUAUGGACAGACACCUGUAAAACCAGGGAGGGGCUUCUCAUCCUGAU